rnacentral:rRNA from 1 species
UACGUAGGUGGCAAGCGUUGUCCGGAUUUAUUGGGCUUAAAGGGUGCGUAGGCGGCUUUGUAAGUCAGUGGUGAAAUACGGUAGCUUAACUAUCGAGGUGCCAUUGAUACUGCAGAGCUUGAGUACAGAUGAGGUAGGCGGAAUUGACGGUGUAGCGGUGAAAUGCUUAGAUAUCGUCAAGAACACCUAUAGCGAAGGCAGCUUACUAGGCUGUAACUGACGCUGAGGCACGAAAGUGUGGGGAUCAAACAGG